AACGUAGGAGACAAACGUUAUCCGGAGUUACUGGGCGUAAAGGGCGUGUAGGUGGUAAUGUAAGUCUGGCGUGAAAUUUUUCGGCUUAACCGGGAAAGGUCGUCGGAGACUGCAUAACUAGAGGACGGUAGAGGCGUGUGGAAUUCCGGGGUGUAGUGGUGAAAUGCGUAGAGAUCCGGAGGAACACCAGUGGCGAAGGCGACACGCUGGGCCGUACCUGACACUGAGGCGCGAUAGCAUGGGGAGCAAACAGG
rnacentral:rRNA from 1 species